rnacentral:lncRNA from 1 species
UGCACCUGUACUUCCUUCCCAACUGUCACUGUGUGAGCUGAGCUGCUGCAGUUUGGUCACUGGUGAGAAGUUCCCCAUGAUGGGAAAUGUGAAUUGCCGUUCUUUAGGAAAUUUCUGUAGCAAUGAAGCAGAAGAUGUACCUCACAAGACGACAAUAUCCAUAAAGAAAAGAGACUGCUUCUGCUCGCACAUCAGGGUGCACCCUCUUCCUGUACCAGAGGAAGCUCAUCCCAAGGGCCUGAUGCAAGAGUUUCCCAGAACAAAUGCAGAGGAAGUACCCAUAACACUUCCUGAGGGUGAGGCCACAGUAACUGUUCACAGUAUAUAUUCUAGAAUUGGAAUCUUGUUGAGAACAACUCUUGCUGACUAUGAGGGUUCCAUCAAUGUCCUGAUGGAUGAAGUUUCCAGUGACAUGGGAGACAGAGACACCACAUGGACUUCCCAUAGUUUUUGUCUGGAGAGCAUAGCAAACUCCAGCAGUGAAGAGGAAGACUCUGCAGCCACCCAAACAUCAUUGAUGCCGUCCAAAGGAAGGCAACUCCAAGGAUGGCAAGGAUUCAGAAGAAAGGAGCAACGUGGUGCCUAUGGACCUGGUCAUGCUGGAUUCUGCUCUUCCUUUCAGUUCCCAAGAAGCACCCCUUCGCCAGAUUUAGGAUUAAAAGCAAGGGAAGCAGGUUUGCAGUCACCAGAGGAGCAAAUGCAUAUGUGCUGCACCUGAUGUUUUCCUGAAGCUGCAAAAGAAAAAAGCUGAACCGUGUCCACGAUGCUCCAGAUGACGCAGAAGAUGUAACAGAAAGUGAAGCAGGAGUGCCCUCAAACCCCAGCAACAGCUUCAGUGAUGGCCCAGAAGAAGAACCAGACGAAGAUAAUACCUAAGUAAUAUUGGAAAAGAAACAAUGCUGGAGCAACUCCUCCCCUGCACCUGACACUUUCAGGCCAUACAAAGAAAAGAUGUUUGGGGUUGCAAUGAGCAAAGAAGACUGUGAUUUCUGGGGACAAGGGGACCCGGCAAGAUGGCCACCACACCCUGGGUGGGUUUCCAGGCAUCACUGAUGACUGAGGCUAUGAGGAGGAAGCAGCACCCCAUACCAUCAAUAGAGCACUGUGGGGUGAGUGUGUGCCCAUCUUGAAGUGUGGGGCUGAGCAACUCCAGGGUUUCCCCCUGCCUGGUGUAGGGCUGCUCCUGCUCCUACUGUCCCUCCAGCCCCCAGCGGGAAUGCACACAGGAUAGAUGCAGGAAAAUUCAAGUCUUCCAGGGUCAAUGGCCACCCUGGAAUCCACUUCAGGGGCAACCUGGCUGUAUCCUUUGUGUCAAAGGACACCAGGCUCAACUGGACCCCUCUCCUCCCUGAAAUAUCUGCUUCCAGACAUCUCUUGACAUUCAUUGUCCUCAGUCUGUUGUACCCAUAUGGCCCUUGCUGACUUCCAAAUAUAAAGCCAAGCCAGCAAGUCUUGGGAAGCACCACACAGGUAGCUUUUGUUGAUUCGUCACCUAUUACUUCUCCCUUGGGCACAGGCACCAGCACCCAGCAAGUCUUGGGAAGCACCACACAGGUAGCUUUUGUUGAUUCAUCACCUAUUACUUCUCCCUUGGGCACAGGCACCAGCACCCAGCAAGUCUUUGCUGCCACCCAGCUAGGUUUCCCUCUGGCACAGUCCCUGGAUCACUUCAAACCUAGCAGUGUUUAUAAUUCAUGUUAAACACUCAAGAAAUGUUGUCUGUUCUUAUUUUAACUAUGACCGAUGUUACUGCCAAAAAUCAUGCACUAAAAACAAGGGUACUUGCAUUCAAACCUAAAUCUUUCUGGAUCCAAAUGAAAAGACAUAGAACCACAAACAUGUUUCAAAUAAAGUGGGCCAUGUUCUUUCCUUCA